GACGAACGCUGGCGGCGUGCUUAACACAUGCCAGUCGAACGGAAAGGCCCUGCUUUUGUGGUGUGCUCGAGUGGCGAACGGGUGAGUAACACGUGAGUCACCUGCCCUUGACUUUGGGAUAACUUCAGGAAACUGGGGCUAAUACCGGAUAGGAGCUCCUGCUGCAUGGUGGGGGUUGGAAAGUUUCGGCGGUUGGGGAUGGACUCGCGGCUUAUCAGCUUGUUGGUGGGGUAGUGGCUUACCAAGGCUUUGACGGGUAGCCGGCCUGAGAGGGUGACCGGCCACAUUGGGACUGAGAUACGGCCCAGACUGCUACGGGAGGCAGCAGUGGGGAAUAUUGCACAAUGGGCGGAAGCCUGAUGCAGCAACGCCGCGUGCGGGAUGACGGCCUUCGGGUUGUAAACCGCUUUCGCCUGUGACGAAGCGUGAGUGACGGUAAUGGGUAAAGAAGCACCGGCUAACUACGUG
rnacentral:rRNA from 1 species